GGCGGCGUAGCUCAGUUGGCUAGAGCGAGGGUCUCAUAAUCCCUAGGUCCGCAGUUCGAUUCUGCGCGCCGCCA
rnacentral:tRNA from 1 species